CAGCCGCCGCGGGAAAACGUAGGUGGCAAGCGUUGUCCGGAAUUAUUGGGCGUAAAGGGCUCGCAGGCGGUUUCUUAAGCCUGAUGUGAAAGCCCCCGGCUCAACCGGGGAGGGUCAUUGGAAACUGGGAAACUUGAGUGCAGAAGAGGAGAGUGGAAUUCCACGUGUAGCGGUGAAAUGCGUAGAGAUGUGGAGGAACACCAGUGGCGAAGGCGACUCUCUGGUCUGUAACUGACGCUGAGGAGCGAAAGCGUGGGGAGCGAACAGGAUUAGAUACCCCCGUAGUCCCUGUCUCUUAUAC
rnacentral:rRNA from 1 species